rnacentral:rRNA from 1 species
GACGAACGCUGGCGGCGUGCUUAACACAUGCAAGUCGAGCGGUAAGGCCCUUUCGGGGGUACACGAGCGGCGAACGGGUGAGUAACACGUGGGUGACCUGCCCUCAGCUCUGGGAUAAGCCCGGGAAACUGGGUCUAAUACUGGAUAUGACUCCACGGUGCAUGUCGUGGGGUGGAAAGCCUUGUGCGGCUGAGGAUGGGCCCGCGGCCUAUCAGCUUGUUGGUGGGGNGAUGGCCUACCAAGGCGACGACGGGUAGCCGGCCUGAGAGGGCGACCGGCCACA